rnacentral:rRNA from 1 species
UACAGAGGUGGCAAGCGUUGUUCGGAAUUACUGGGCGUAAAGCGCGUGUAGGCGGCUCUUCAAGUCAGGCGUGAAAGCCCCGGGCUCAACUCGGGAACUGCGCUUGAUACUGUCGAGCUAGAGUGUGGAAGGGGCGAUUGGAAUUCCGUGUGUAGCGGUGAAAUGCGUAGAUAUACGGAGGAACACCAGAGGCGAAGGCGGAUCGCUGGGCCAACACUGACGCUGAGACGCGAAAGCUAGGGUAGCAAACGGGAUUAGAAACCCCCGUAGUCC